UAAACUCCUAGAACAUCUCACACACAGGUAACAAAAACUGCACGAUUAACAGAUACAUAAGCACAUAAAGAUCACGGAUGAGGAGUAAAUGGAUUUAUGUGGCUAUCCUGGGGAUAGCAUGCAUGAUGCUUGGAGUCAAUGGGAGCAAUACAACAAGCAGUAGCAACUCUACAGACAGCUGGAUAUCUUCUAACAUGACCACCAGCCUGACCCAGACGCUACCAACCAACAUGACCACCAACCUGACCCAGACACUACCACCCAACAUUACCACCAACCUGACCCAGACGAACCCACCCAGCAUGACCACCAACCUAAACCAGGACAUCACUGGCAGGGAUAACUGCAAGAGGGAUAGGGCAUGUUUCUCCGCUCCACCUUCCUGUAAUCCAGGUGCAGAAGGUUCCUGCUAUUUUCUUUCCACAAGAGGAGUAAGCGGAAAUGCAGAUAAUUUUACUUUUGAGCUGAGUGGCGAGACAGAUGGUUACAUUGGAGCUGGCCUCUCUCGAGACAGCAGUGGUCAAGGUGCCACCGUCUAUUCUUGUGCCAAAUUCAAUGGUGCACUGAGGUUAAUUCGUUCCACACUGAACAAUCAAAUAUUGAUGCAGGAUAAUACAUUUAUCCCUGGAAGCUUCCGAGGCUCAGUCAUUGGUAGAAAGAUUCAAUGCAUUUUCAAUGCUGCAGGUCUCAGCAGCACCACCCGUUCUGCAACCACAGACACUUUUGUCUUCCUUUUAACAGGCAGCAUAUCAAAUGGUUCUCUGGAUUCUCCAGUCAGUAGACUGACCACAAAUGGGUCAGUGGACUUAAGCAACCCCAACAGCACAGACGUUUCAGUAAUAACACCCAGUACAAAUGCCACUGCAUCUAAUACCACAGCAACAUCAACCACCACUGCAGCAUCUACAAACUUGACCCAGACGGUAUUUCCCAACAUAACCGCCAACCUGACCCAGACAAACCCUCCCAACAUUACCGCCAACCUGACCCAGACACACCCUCCCAACAUAAC
ensembl:lncRNA